GCCAGUGAGGGUCCUCCGCUAGCUGACGCAGGCUCCCUCAGAUCAGCAUCCUCCUCUGGCAGGAUCUGGCUGUGGAAAAGGCCCGAGGCUCUGGGGGCCAGCUAGAGACCCAAGAUGCACCAGUCCUUGGCACAAGGGUGACACACCGUGAGUGCAUAGCCAUGAGGUGGGAAGCUGUGAGAGCCCAGGGGACCUCAGAUCCAGCCACCCAGCACGGAGCCUGGCCCGAGGGAUAAAACACCGGGUGGCAGCCGGGACAGUGACUGGAGGGACCAUCAAUGUCACAAACACAGCCAGGGACCCCAGGGCCCUGGCGUGGGCUCCCCCGUGACAGCCUCAGAGAGUCUCGCUAAGUUCCUGAAGCUGGCCUUGAACUUGAGAUCCUCCUUCCUCAGCCUCCCGCGUCACUGGAAUUACAGGCAAGCGGUGGGCAGGUGGCCAUUGUCCACCAGCACCCUUGGCCCUUUAUGAAUGGUCCAUGGCUGCUCCUGAAGGCCUGGGUGAGCCGUCAAGCAGGGACCCCAGGCCACGGUGCCAGAGCUGCAGCACUCCCGCUCCGACCCUCUACGGGGAAGGUUCGUGCCCCGAGGUCCGCGGAUCUGAAACCACUUGGCCCAUCGUCCACUUGAAGCUCUAAAUUCUCCUCCUCUACUUCACCACUAAAACUCACUGUAAUGAAGCCAAAUAAAAUUAAUUUUAAAAAUCA